rnacentral:rRNA from 1 species
UUGAAGAUCGGAGUGCUUGCACUCUGUGAAAACAAGAUACAGGGCUAGCGGGCGGAACGGGGUGAGUAACACGUGGGGUAACCCUGCCCAAAGAGAUCGGGGAUAACACCCUGGGAACAGAUGCUAAUACCCGGGAUACAACAGAUGAUGCCUAUCAACUGUUUAAAAGAUGGUUCUGCUAUCACUCUUGGGAUGGGACCUGCGGUGCAUUAGCUAGUUGGUAGGGUAACGGGCCUACCAAGGCGAUGAUGCAUAGCCGAGUUGAGAGACUGAUCGGCCACAUUGGGACUGAGACACGGCCCAAACUCCUACGGGAGGCAGCAGUAGGGAAUCUUCCACAAUGGACGCAAGUCUGAUGGAGCAACGCCGCGUGAGUGAAGAAGGGUUUCGGCUCGUAAAGCUCUGUUGUUGGUGAAGAAGGACAGGGGUAGUAACUAACCUUUGUUUGACGGUAAUCAAUUAGAAAGUCACGGCUAACUACGUGCCAGCAGCCGCGGUAAU